GAGAGAAAAAAAAAUACUAUAUAUCAAUAAUACUAAAGUUAAAGGAACCUAAUUAAAGAAAAGCAGCUAAGAACAUAGAAUUAUCCCGUUUUCACUCCAUCCAUGUACGAAGGAGAGAAAAGAAAAGGAAGGAAAAAGAAAGAAAACAAACCAAACAAAGAAGAAAAUUUCAAAAUAUAUAUAUAAAUAAAUAAAUAAUUGAAUUUUACGAGACUAGACCAUCACCAUCACCAACAUCUUCAACAUCAUCAUCGUUUUGUGUUGUAGUGGUCACUGCAUUUUUCAUGAUCUUGACCAUUCUUUUCUUGUUUUUGUUUCUUUUUAUUGUUCUUGCUUUCCUUUUGUUUUCCU
rnacentral:misc_RNA from 1 species